rnacentral:lncRNA from 7 species
GCCGAGACCCCGGGUCACGCAGCAUGGCGGCAACGCGGCGGAUCCGUUGUCCCGAUGAGAAAUUCCACUGCUUCGAUCAGUCGACCGCGCCCGCGAAUGCCACACCAACAUCCACAAGCCCUGGCGGUCCCCCCUGGGCCUCGCCCAGAGGUCUUGGCGACGGCGAGGCACGAGUUCGGUCGCGGGCGGCUUCCUUUUCCUCCACCGUCGAACGCACACGAGCUUCCUUCAUCACACAAACAGGCAAUGGCGCCCGCGAUUCUUUCCUAUCUCCCUGCUCACCCUCUCUGUCCUUCCGCCGCUCGAGUGAUUACUAACAACCACGACUGAAACGGAUGGGGGCUAGAGUUCGCUGGUAUAGGAAGGGGAAGAGGAGGCCUGGAACAAAAUACAAAUAGCUCCGAGCACCAAUCUCGGAGGUCGUUUCGCCGCGCGUGGAAGACGGCAGACACUGCUCUGCGUAUGGCGGCCGCAAGAUACGGAGACGCUGUCAACGUGGGUCUCGAGCCCCAGGAUCCGCAAUCAUCGGGGGUAAGGGCCUGCGGCGACUUGUUCACCGACGCGAGGGAAACGGAGAUGAGUGGGGUCGGAGCAUGCGCGCGCCC